rnacentral:rRNA from 1 species
GACGAACGCUGGCGGCGUGCUUAACACAUGCAAGUCGAACGGAAAGGCCCUGCUUUUGUGGGGUGCUCGAGUGGCGAACGGGUGAGUAACACAUGAGUAACCUGCCCUUGACUUUGGGAUAACUUCAGGAAACUGGGGCUAAUACCGGAUAGGAGCUCCUGCUGCAUGGUGGGGGUUGGAAAGUUUCGGCGGUUGGGGAUGGACUCGCGGCUUAUCAGCUUGUUGGUGGGGUAGUGGCUUACCAAGGCUUUGACGGGUAGCCGGCCUGAGAGGGUGACCGGCCACAUUGGGACUGAGGUACGGCCCAGACUCCUACGGGAGGCAGCAGUGGGGAAUAUUGCACAAUGGGCGGAAGCCUGAUGCGGCAACGCCGCGUGCGGGAUGACGGCCUUCGGGUUGUAAACCGCUUUCGCCUGUGACGAAGCGUGAGUGACGGUAAUGGGUAAAGAAGCACCGGCUAACUACGUG